GGGCACAGUCUGAAUCUGCUCAGAGCAAGAUGCUGAGUGGAAUCGGGGGCUUCGUUCUGGGUCUGCUCUGCCUUGGGGUGGGGCUGUUCGUCUACUUCAGGAACCAGAAAGAACAUCUGGACUUCAGCCAACAGGACUCCUAAGCUGAAGGAAAGUGAUGACGCUCAAGGAAGAACCUUCUGUCCCAGCUUCUUUGCAGCAUGAAACAGUUUCCUGCUUAGCUCUGAUUCUUCCGCAGUGAGAGUACUUCUCAGGGUCUGCUUUGCCCCUGGUUCAGUGACCCUGCAGAAAAUGCCCUCCCUGCUGGCUUCCUCAGCCCUGCCCUUGACCCGGAAACCCCCGAUACUGAAGACAGCGCCUUAUCUUCAUUUUUUCCUGGUCCUUUUUUCAUUCAACCUUUAUGGCCUUCCUUGCACUUGAACAUAGCUUUUACCCACAUUUCUUCACAAAGUUUUUCUCAAAUACACAUGGAGUGAGGACCACCUGUCUGAUACAGCUUUAAGGGAAAGGGAGUGGGGCGGGGAAGGGGAGGCAGAGAAAUCCCCCCCGCCACCCCGCUCCUCUUGAGUUCCUGUGGCUGUGUUAAUGAUAAAGUUGACACAAAACAGAUUAACAAGAGAAAAUGAAAUGGAUUUUAUUUCACGUGCAUGGCAGUCUCAUAGAAAUAGGACCUAAGAAGUGGCCAAAGCAGGCAGCUUUUAUGCUUUUUAGACAAAGAAACAAUAAAUUUGUGGUAAUUGAUAGAACAAAGAAACGUAGGUUUUGGGCGCUCAAAUAGUGAAGAAUCUAAACAGAGUUCGGGCUUGGGUAGUAAAUUAAAGACGUAGCAAGUCUUCUUGGUCUGAAUUCCUGUCUUUGGUGAUGUGUGUCCUACCUCCAGAUGUAGCAGGUGUAUCUUUCACAGCAGAGAUUAUUUCCUGCUUUCAGGAAGAAAGAAAGGACAGUCAGAGUGUCUCUCUUGCACUGGCUGUUUAUUUAAGUAAAUUUAAUUCAAAAUUAUCAAUAUGCCAUUGUGACAUAUUUGGAGGUAACCUUCCCUGAACCCCAACAAGAGGAUUUCAUUAAGAUACAAUAAUGGUUUUUAUUUUUAUUUCUGAAUUUUGGUCACUUGUGGAUCAUAGUAGUUUUCCUUCCUUCAUUCUCUGUUUUAUCUUGAAUUUUCUGUAUUCUGUAAUUAGGAAUAUUUAGCUGAGCUAGGAGAAAGUCCUUCAUUCACCCAUAUCAGGGUGGUCUCUUGCCUCUUUGCAUUCUCAAAGACAAAUAUAAAAGUUCCUUCAUACCAUGGGAUACAGAAAGGGACAACAAAUACAAGAAAUGCAGGUGCCUUAUAAGGGUGUUAUGCCUUCAAAAUUUUCAUAAUCAUGUUCUUUUGUAUGUUUUUCCCUGAUAUUUUAAAAAGAAAGUCUCUAAA